GCCAGACACAAUGUUGCAUGCAUGUAGACCCAGCUACUCAGGUGGCUGAGGCAGGAGGAUCCCUGGAGUUCAGGAGUUCUGGGCGAUAGUGCAUUAUGCUGAUCAUGUGUCUGUACCGUUAUGCAUCACUAUGGUGACCUCCUGGGAGGAAGGGACCACCAGGUUGCCUCAGGAGAGGGGAAGCAGCUCAGGUGGGAAACAGCAGGUCAAAACUCCUGGGCUGAUCAGUAGUGGGAUUGCACCUAUCAAUAGCCACUGCAUGGCAGUCCAAGCAAUGUAGAGAGGCCUAGUCUUAA
ensembl:misc_RNA Metazoa_SRP Metazoan signal recognition particle RNA